CCUCAAGGGGAAUUGAAAAGCGGCUCCGGAGACUCAGCCCUGACAGUCCCGGGGCGGCCAGGGCGCCACCUGCUGGCUUUGGAGGAGGCAGCCGGCUGAUCCCCGCUCCUCUCCCGAACCCACAGUGAGGCCAGAGGUUCGAUAGUCCCACGUCCGGCGUGGCUAGGAAGCCGCAGCCCAGGCUCCUCCGCUCCCUGGGCCCCAGAGCUGGACCGAAUGGUCCCCCAGUGUCGCCGCCGGAGCGGUAGGAAAUCUGGAUGCUAGAUCUGGAUCUUGGCCACCCGGGGAACUGCUCUGCGACACAAAGCCGGCGGCUUGCAGUGCUCCAUGUAACACAGGAUUAUUUUAGGACCAAAACAUUUAGGAGAAGAAUGAAUACAUCUCAGAAACUCCAGGACCAGGGCAGUGACCUUCAUUUCUGGGACAGUAGGUUCAUUCUGGACCACAGAUAUUCACUAAAUGACUUCUAUGUGCCUGGCACUGUGACAACAACUGGAGACAGAAACAGUGUGGCCUCCACUCUCAGGUGCUUAUGCUGUUCUCUGGGAGGGUCUUCAAAAGACAGACAGCGGCCAGGCAUGAUGGUGGUACACACCUGUAAUCCCAGCACUCAGGAGGCUGAAGCAGGAGGAUCACUGUGAGUUUGAGACCAGCCUGGGCUACAUAGUGACUUCCAGGUCAGUCUCAACUACAUAGUGAGACCCUGUCUCAAAAAAAAAAAAAAAAAAAGACAGCCACCAGUCUCAGCAGCCAUGCUGCAAAGAAAGGAGAGGAGGCUCCAUUUAGAUGAUGCAUGGACAAAGAUGCAUGAAACCAGUAAAUAAAACAUGAUGUCAUCCACAGCACCCCUACUCAGAGCCCAAGUCUGUUCAUGGCCACCCUGUUGACUUGCUGUGUGAUCUGGAAUAAACCCAUCCCUCUCUGAUCCUCCCCACAGCCACAUCUGGGGAGUGAAGAGGGCUAGCUCUGUCUUCUCUGAAGACCUUUGCAACUCUAGCUUCUAUGACUCCCCCUUCCCUUCUUCCGCCAGUCCUGUCUCCAAGGCAGACAUGGGCAUGCACAACUGGUUGAAGCCGUCACUCCUAGGCAAGAGGGAGAGGAUUCUGUGGCAUCUCACUCUACCCUCCUCAGGCUAAAACCAGCUGGUAGAAUCCAACUUUGCCAACACCAGCUGUGUGACACCAGUCAAGUUACCUAACUUCUCUGAGCCCCCUUGUCUCUAAAAUCAGAAGUAUCACAGUGCCUAAUUUAUACAUCUGCUAAAAGGACCAAAUGAGCUACUCAUAUAUUCACAGUGUGCUUGACACACUGUAAUAUUCAGUAGACAUUAAUAAUUAUUAUUCUGGGGUUUUGGUGAGAAAGGAAAUUAAAAAACAGCAC
rnacentral:lncRNA from 1 species